CGAGGUGGGAACGGAGAAGAUGGAGCGAGGCGGCGCGCGGAGGCUGCCGGAGGGAGCCUUGAAGCACACUGUGGCCAGGCUGAUCUCUACAUGGAGUCUGAAGCCAGUGCUGGCUAGGCUGGGAGUACAAGAGCGGUCAAGACAGUCCUGCCCUAGGUCUGAAAGAGGCAUUUGAACAAAGAUAGCAGGAUGAGAAAAUGGAGGAACAGAGUCCCUUCUUGAGGUCUCCCUGGAGGUAAUGAGAGAGACUGGACUAGAAGAUGGAUGAGAUCGGUUCCAAGCCUGGCAACCCCUGUCUCUUUGGGCCCUUAGCUCUGAACUGUGACAACUUUCCCUUGGAAUCACCCAGUUCCUUUCCACGUCUGGCCCUUUUACGUGCACUGUCCCCCCCACCAGGAGCUCCGUUCUCUGUCCUUUCCCCUGACUUCUUCCUCCUCCUCCAGGCUCUUGGCCAGACCACCACU